ACUUUUUUUCUUUAUAAAUUACCCAGUCUCAAGUAUUUCUUUAUAGCAAUUCGAGAAUGGCCUAACACGGGCCCCUUCUGUGUUGCUACUUUGCCAUUACCACAGUGUGUCUUCCCCCUCCAGCCAGCAAGUCGGAGGAAAGGGUGAAGAAGAGCAAACCUGCUCCCCGAACGACGCUUCCUUGGAAAUGAUAUGCAUGUACAAACACGUGCACACACAUGCGUGCACACCCAUAAGCAAACAUACAUACUUCCCAUUGGCCAGAACUUAAUCACAUGGGCACACCCAAGAGCAAAGAAGGCUGGGAAAUGUAGCCUGUGCCAAGUGACCACACACCCAGCUACAAACGGUCACCAGUUUCAAGAUUUGUACAUCCUGGUGUCACGGUGAAAAGCCUAUUGGUGGCAAGCACAUAAGGCACGUGGGAUGGCCAGGGGCCUCCAGCACAGGAAGGCCCCGAGUGAAAGCCUAGCAGAGUUAAGCGACUGUACGACAUGCUGAAAGGGAUCAGUGAUUUCUCCUGCAGCCAGUUCCAACCUGCUGAAAGGAACACUGAGAAAAUAUAUGGACUCAGUAAACCUGAGCUGCCUCCAAUGGCCUCACUCACUCCAACCCUCAACUUUGCAAUGCUGGAAUGCUGAGAUUAUCGUCCACAAGGAGCAGAAGCUUUCAUAGAGGAACCCAUCGACGUGGCUCCUGCCAAAGUCCUCAACAGGGCUUCGAAAC
rnacentral:lncRNA from 1 species